rnacentral:rRNA from 1 species
UACGGAGGGAGCUAGCGUUGUUCGGAAUUACUGGGCGUAAAGCGCACGUAGGCGGCUUUUUAAGUCAGGGGUGAAAUCCCGGAGCUCAACUCCGGAACUGCCCUUGAAACUGGGAAGCUAGAAUCUUGGAGAGGCGAGUGGAAUUCCGAGUGUAGAGGUGAAAUUCGUAGAUAUUCGGAAGAACACCAGUGGCGAAGGCGACUCGCUGGCCCGAUAUUGACGCUGAGGUGCGAAAGCGUGGGGAGCAAACAGG